rnacentral:rRNA from 1 species
CGGAGGAAAAGAAACCAACUGGGAUUACCUUAGUAACGGCGAGUGAAGCGGUAAAAGCUCAAAUUUGAAAUCUGGUACUUUCAGUGCCCGAGUUGUAAUUUGUAGAAUUUGUCUUUGAUUAGGUCCUUGUCUAUGUUCCUUGGAACAGGACGUCAUAGAGGGUGAGAAUCCCGUUUGGCGAGGAUACCUUUUCUCUGUAAGACUUUUUCGAAGAGUCGAGUUGUUUGGGAAUGCAGCUCAAAGUGGGUGGUAAAUUCCAUCUAAAGCUAAAUAUUGGCGAGAGACCGAUAGCGAACAAGUACAGUGAUGGAAAGAUGAAAAGAACUUUGAAAAGAGAGUGAAAAAGUACGUGAAAUUGUUGAAAGGGAAGGGCAUUUGAUCAGACAUGGUGUUUUUUGCAUGCACUCGCCUCUCGUGGGCUUGGGCCUCUCAAAAAUUUCACUGGGCCAACAUCAAUUCUGGCAGCAGGAUAAAUCAUUAAGAACGUAGCUACCUCGGUAGUGUUAUAGCUUUUUGGAAUACUGCUAGCUGGGAUUGAGGACUGCGCUUCGGCAAGGAUGUUGGCAUAAUGGUUAAAUGCCGCCCGUCUG